rnacentral:rRNA from 1 species
UACGUAGGAUCCGAGCGUUGUCCGGAUUUAUUGGGCGUAAAGAGCUCGUAGGUGGUUCGGUAAGUCAGGUGUGAAACCUCCAGGCUCAACCUGGAGACGCCACUUGAUACUGCUGUGACUGGAGUCCGGUAGGGGAGCGUGGAAUUCCUGGUGUAGCGGUGAAAUGCGCAGAUAUCAGGAGGAACACCAGCGGCGAAGGCGGCGCUCUGGGCCGGUACUGACACUGAGGAGCGAAAGCGUGGGUAGCAAACAGG